UGCGCAUUACUCGUAUUUUAUUUAGUUUUAUUCAAUAUUUUCAUUUUUGUCAUAAUUAUAUAAUAAAUAGUGCUAGUGUUGCCCAUUGUGAUAAGCGUUUGCAAAACUUAAGCUUUUGUCGGAAUGGAAUUCAAAUCAAGGCCCAAAUUGAGCCUAUACGAGAAUUAUACCGCAAAUUGCAUGAAAUAAGAACUGUUAUCUUUCUCAGUUUCUAAAUUAUAUGUGAUUAACUAAAGUAUUUAAAAUCAUAAAGAUUUCGAGGUAUUAAUUUUUAUUUGUUUUUGGGAACUUGAAUGAAACGGAAGGGCCCUAAAUCAAUCACUAAUUUCAGCAAUUGUGGUGGUGUUUGAAAAGUUAUGGUGAAAAAUGAUAAAAGAAGAAGAGCCCUAUAAUCAUUGAAACUUCAUUUCAACACUGUGAAGGGUUGGGAAGUGCCCUUACAUCCAUCUCCAAUUUCAGCAAUUUUGGUGGUUUUUGAAAAGAUUUUGUGGAAAAUGAUAAGAGAAAAAGAGCUGUUUAAUCAGAAAAACUGUAUUUCAACACCGUCAGAGGUCGAGAAGUGCCCUUAAAUUGAUUUCCAAUUUCAGCAAUUUUGGUGGUUUUUGAAAAGUUUUUGUGGAAAAUGAUAAGAGAAGAAGAGAUAUUUAAUCAAAGCAACUGUAUUUCAACACCGUCAAGGGUCUAGAAGUGCCCCUAAAUUGAUCUCCAAUUUCAACAAUUUUGGUGGUUCUUGAAAAGUUCUUGUAGAAAAUGAUAAGAGAAGAAGAGCUGUUUAAUCCGAAAAACGGUAUUUCAACAUCGUCAAGGGUCUAAAAGUGCCCUUAAAUCAAUUUCCAAUUUCGGCAAUUUUGGUGGUUUCUCAAAAGUUCUUGUGG